rnacentral:rRNA from 1 species
UGAAGAUCGGAGUGCUUGCACUCUGUGAAACAAGAUACAGGCUAGCGGCGGACGGGUGAGUAACACGUGGGUAACCUGCCCAAGAGAUCGGGAUAACACCUGGAAACAGAUGCUAAUACCGGAUAACAACAGAUGAUGCCUAUCAACUGUUUAAAAGAUGGUUCUGCUAUCACUCUUGGAUGGACCUGCGGUGCAUUAGCUAGUUGGUAGGGUAACGGCCUACCAAGGCGAUGAUGCAUAGCCGAGUUGAGAGACUGAUCGGCCACAUUGGGACUGAGACACGGCCCAAACUCCUACGGGAGGCAGCAGUAGGGAAUCUUCCACAAUGGACGCAAGUCUGAUGGAGCAACGCCGCGUGAGUGAAGAAGGGUUUCGGCUCGUAAAGCUCUGUUGUUGGUGAAGAAGGACAGGGGUAGUAACUGACCUUUGUUUGACGGUAAUCAAUUAGAAAGUCACGGCUAACUACGUGCCAGCAGCCGCGGUAAUACGUAGGUGGCAAGCGUUGUCCGGAUUUAUUGGGCGUAAAGCGAGUGCAGGCGGCUCGAUAAGUCUGAUGUGAAAGCCUUCGGCUCAACCGGAGAAUUGCAUCAGAAACUGUCGAGCUUGAGUACAGAAGAGGAGAGUGGAACUCCAUGUGUAGCGGUGAAAUGCGUAGAUAUAUGGAAGAACACCGGUGGCGAAGGCGGCUCUCUGGUCUGUUACUGACGCUGAGGCUCGAAAGCAUGGGUAGCGAACAGGAUUAGAUACCCUGGUAGUCCAUGCCGUAAACGAUGAGUGCUAAGUGUUGGGAGGUUUCCGCCUCUCAGUGCUGCAGCUAACGCAUUAAGCACUCCGCCUGGGGAGUACGACCGCAAGGUUGAAACUCAAAGGAAUUGACGGGGGCCCGCACAAGCGGUGGAGCAUGUGGUUUAAUUCGAAGCACGCGAGAACCUUACCAGGUCUUGACAUCCAUAGCCAGUCUAGGAGA